UGAAGAUGUCUGGCGUCGAAGCAGCCCACAGAAGAACAUGGAAACAUGGGAUUGAAGCCCCGCAUGAACAAAGGAUUUCUAACAAAUACAAGGUCAACCAACUAAGUGAUUGAACAAUCACAAUUUCACCUAAAAAAGAUGAUAGGAUGUUUCUGUAAAUGAGUUUGGGGACUGCAGGUCACAAGUGAAGGAGAUAAGGCCACGCGCAGAUGAGGCCAUUUUUCACCUGAAUGAGAGUGAACCUUGCGUCUGUGUUGGGAUGUGCUACAUGAUUGGGGCCUGAUGUGGACUCGUUAUCGCCACAUGCUCCAUAUUUGAGAGGACACAUGGCAACUUUAAGCACAUAUAGUGUCUUUUUUUGUUAGAUUGUGUGUGUACAUGUGACAAGGGACUUUUGAGGUGACCAGACCACUGUUUGUACACUUCAUACAAAUCAUAUUGUGUUUUGUAUUAAAA